rnacentral:snRNA from 1 species
AGGCAGGGCUGAUCGGGCUGAGACAUUUGUCACCCACUGAUUACUAGGACUGAUCUGCUGAUCUGGCUGCUAGGCAGGCAUCCCCUUCCUCCCUCAACAACCUGUAUGCUCUGUCAAGAGGUUGCCCUUCCUUGACAGAAGAAGCUAGUCUUUGUCUCAGGUAGAUGAGAAGCUCCCCUUGCUGGAACCUCCAAAUUAGCCUCCAAAGCCCAUUUGUAGGAGACAGAGGGAAGUCAGACUUGCAAGACUGCAGACAUACCAGACGAGGCAUUGCGUGCGAAUGUCUGAUUUU